ACAGAUGACGAGUGGCGCACGGGUGAGUAACGCGUACGCGACCUACCCUUAAGAGGGGAAUAGCCCCGGGAAACUGGGAUUAAUGCCCCAUAGUAUGGUUUCGCGAGAGGGUCAUUAAGGGAUUAGAUCUGCUUAAGGAUGGGCGUGCGUGCUAUUAGCUAGUUGGUGAGGUAACGGCUCACCAAGGCGACGAUAGCUAGGGGGCGUGAGAGCGUGAUCCCCCACACGGGUACUGAGACACGGACCCGACUCCUACGGGAGGCAGCAGUAAGGAAUAUUGGACAAUGUCCGCAAGGGUGAUCCAGCCAUCCCGCGUGCAGGAAGACGGUCCUAUGGGUUGUAAACUGCUUUUAUUAGGGAAGAAUAGCUACUAUGAAUAGUGGUAUGACGGUACCUAAGGAAUAAGCACCGGCUAACUCCGUGCCAGCAGCCGCGGUAAUACGGAGGGUGCGAGCGUUAUCCGGAAUCACUGGGUUUAAAGGGUGCGUAGGCGGAAUAAUAAGUCAGGCGUGAAAGGUUCCAGCCUUACUGUAGAAUUGCGUAUGAUACUGUUA
rnacentral:rRNA from 1 species